rnacentral:rRNA from 1 species
ACUGCGAGUGAAGCGGCAAAAGCUCAAAUUUGAAAUCUGGUACCUUUGGGUGCUCGAGUUGUAAUUUGGAGAGGCAACUUCGGAGGGGGCGCUGGCCUAAGUUCCUUGGAACAGGACGUCACAGAGGGUGAGAAUCCCGUGCUUGGCUGGCUGUCCUCCUUCAUGUGAAGUGUCUUCGACGAGUCGAGUUGUUUGGGAAUGCAGCUCAAAAUGGGUGGUAAACUCCAUCUAAGGCUAAAUAUUGGCGAGAGACCGAUAGCGCACAAGUAGAGUGAUCGAAAGAUGAAAAGCACUUUGAAAAGAGAGUUAAACAGUACGUGAAAUUGUUGAAAGGGAAGCGCUUGAGACCAGACUCGGUAAUUGGUGAUCAGCGGUAGCUUCUGCUCCGUGCACUUGCCUUUUACUGGGCCAGCAUCAGUUGCGACGGCUGGAUAAAGGCUCAGGGAAUGUGGCUCUCUUCNGGGAGUGUUAUAGCCCUGGGUGUAAUGNUGCCUGCCGCGACUGAGGACCGCGCUNCGGCUAGGAUGNUGGCAUAAUGNUCUUC